AUUGUUGGCCUAUAUUCCUAUAAUAUAUAAAGGCACAAGGAGUAGUCCCACUCCCAUCACAACACAUUUGUAUUGAAGGGAAAAAAAAUGAAGUCUUCCACCUUUGCCUUAUUUCUAGUCUUCUCAUUUCUCUUGGUUGCAAAUAAUGUGUGCCAUGGGAGAAAAGAUCAAGGUGAAUAUUGGAAGGAUAUGAUGGAUAAGCAAACUAUGCCUGAAGCAAUCAAAGACCUUCUUGUUGAAGAUCCACAAGUUUCAUCAUCACAUGCAAGAAAAAAUAAGGAUCAAUUUAGGAAGGACUUUGACAUUAAGCCUAAUGUCAUACUCUAUCACAGCCAUGUUGGACCCAAGAAGCAGAAAGCAUAAGUCUUUUGAAAAACGUUUUGUUUAAGUUUGUGACUCUGUGGAAUAAUCAUGCAUGUACUUAGUUAGUUCAUGCACGUGUGUUAAGUAUAUUACUUUUGUUUUUUGUGAAUGUUAUGUUUUUUCUCC